UUGUUAGUCUUUUAAUUUAAUUUCCGUCCAUUUCAGUUCCUAGUGUUUAAUUUAAUUGUUUUCAUUAUUCUGAGUCAUUUUAAGUGUGUUUCGAGUUAUUAGAGUUUUUAGCCUAGUUUUGUGUCCUUGAGUCUUAUUUAAUAUUUUUAAGUUAAUUUAAUAGAUUAGCAAUCCCUCCUAAUCCCCGGCCUAGAAGGAUACCCUACUUACAUCUAUACUACAAUUGUCAAAAAGAGGGUUUAAUUUGUGUGUCAAGUAAUUCACGCAUCAAAUUUUGGCGCCGUUGCCGGGGAUUAGUAACUUUGCUAAUCCUUUUAUUUUUGUUUUUGUUUAUGU
rnacentral:lncRNA from 1 species